rnacentral:rRNA from 11 species
UAGUAACUGAGCGAACUUCUCAGAAGUGACACAUUCAAGUUUCUGCCCUAUCAGCUUUCGAUGGUAGUGUAUUGGACUACCAUGGCGAUGACGGGUGACGGAGAAUUAGGGUUCGAUUCCGGAGAGGGAGCCUGAGAAACGGCUACCACAUCCAAGGAAGGCAGCAGGCGCGCAAAUUACCCAAUCCUGACUCAGGGAGGUAGUGACAAGAAAU